CUGUUGGCCGGCCUAGAAGCGGUGGCCCCACUCUGUGAUUCUGGGUCUUGGCUGGAAGUUUCAGAAGCACACGCAGCAGUGACUUCCUCCUUGCGGUGGCGACUGGAUCAGCAACUGCCAGGACAGUAAUGAGAUCCCCCAAGAACGGUUGCUGGCAGCCCACUACCGCUGUUGCUGGGGGCUGAGGGUUGAGUGGGUCUGAGUGCUUGCCUGUGAGCAAUUCAGGGCCCCAAGAGAUUCCCGAAGGAACUGCUGCUCUGAGGUUAUUCAUCUGAUGGGAAGACGCUGGUGAGAAAAGACAACAUUUCUGGUACCUCAGAGGUGACAAGGGUGAACUCAGCCCAAUAGGACAGCUGACUCCAUGGUGAGUGGCAGCCAGCCAGCCAAUGAGAAUGAGUCAAGGAGAAAGAAGGUGUGUCCUUAGAGCUGCUGCAAAAACUUACUUCAUAAUUUGUGAAACCUGCCUCACAGCCUGGAAUUGAGAACCUGGGAAGCCGGCUGCUCCUUUCCUACCUGGGUGUUCUUAAAAAUACAUUGCCAUUCCCAUAAGCAUUCUUUCCG